rnacentral:rRNA from 1 species
UACGUAGGGUGCAAGCGUUGUCCGGAAUUAUUGGGCGUAAAGAGCUCGUAGGCGGUUUGUCGAGUCUGCUGUGAAAGAUCGGGGCUCAACCCCGGAACUGCAGUGGGUACGGGCAGACUAGAGUGCGGUAGAGGAGACUGGAAUUCCUGGUGUAGCGUUGGAAUGCGCAGAUAUCAGGAGGAACACCAGUGGCGAAGGCGGGUCUCUGGGCCGCAACUGACGCUGAGGAGCGAAAGCGUGGGGAGCUAACAGG